UUACACAGCGCCUCUCACAUCUCUCUCUUUCUUCUCCCUCGUUGGCAGCGAACAGCCUAGACGCAUCCUCCCCCUUCUCUCUCGUUAACUUUUAUUUUUUUCUAAAAAUAAAAGGUUAACUCAAAGUUUCUCAUCUCUUUUCCGCCUCUUCUUCUUUGUCUAUUCUCUCUGCGAUCAUGAGAUCGCCAGGCCAGGCGGAGCUUCUCCCGGUGUCCUGACGCCCAAAUGGGCACCGCCAAUAGGCGCAACACCCGUCGACACGACACGAUGGGGAAUGACCAGUGCUUGGGGGUUUGUAAGGUCGUCCGUUUUACUUCACUAGAAUUUGACACCCUUCGAAUCCCUCUCCUUCCACAGCGGCUUUGAGUUUCUGGUUGAUGGAGAUCGGGGUUAUGUUGUUUACGGUGGACUAUUGUAAUCUGAUUUUGAUUGUUGUUUUAGGUGUCUAAUUUUUUUUUACAGAUGUGUUCAUGCCUAUUUUUGGGUUUUUCUUUUCAUCUAAGUGUUAAUACCCACUCCCAUUGUUCUAAAAAUAUUUUAGUAAAAAAAAUUGUAUUGAACCAUACUUAUAUUAUAUUGAUUCAAAGGAAUAUUUUUUGUUCAAUACUUUAUUUUUUUUUUUAUUUUUAUUUAUGUAAAUUAAUGCAAAUAUAUAUACACUUUUUAAGUUUUUUUAUAUGAAAAUUAAAAUAAAACAAAUCUGAUAUAUAAGUAUAUUAAUUAUUAAAAUAAAUAAAUAA